rnacentral:rRNA from 1 species
GGUAUGGGAUGAGCUUGCGUCCGAUUAGCUAGUUGGCGGGGCAACGGCCCACCAAGGCGACGAUCGGUAGCCAGCCUGAGAGGGUGAUCGGCCACAUUGGGACUGAGAUACGGCCCAGACUCCUACGGGAGGCGGCAGUAGGGAAUAUUGCACAAUGGGGGAAACCCUGAUGCAGCAACGCCACGUGUGGGAAGAAGCAUUUCGGUGUGUAAACCACUGUCGUGAGGGAAUAAUACGCGUCUUCGGGCGCGGGAGAAUGUACCUUGAAAGGAAGCACCGGCAAACUUCGUGCCAGCAGCCGCGGUAAUACGAGGGGUGCAAGCGUUGUUCGGAAUCACUGGGCGUAAAGGGAGUGUAGGCGGAUGUUCAAGCGGAUUGUACAAUACCGGGGCCCAACCCCGGACCUGCAGUUCGAACUGGACAUCUUGGAUAGUUCAGGGGCAGGC